GGGUUGUGAGGUUAAGCGACUAAGCGUACACGGUGGAUGCCCUGGCAGUCAGAGGCGAUGAAGGGCGUGCUAAUCUGCGAUAAGCGCCGGUAAGGUGAUAUGAACCGUUAUAACCGGCGAUACCCGAAUGGGGAAACCCAGUGUGACUCGUCACACUAUCAUUAACUGAAUCCAUAGGUUAAUGAGGCGAACCGGGGGAACUGAAACAUCUAAGUACCCCGAGGAAAAGAAAUCAACCGAGAUUCCCCCAGUAGCGGCGAGCGAACGGGGAGGAGCCCAGAGCCUGAAUCAGCAUGUGUGUUAGUGGAAGUGUCUG
rnacentral:rRNA from 1 species